rnacentral:rRNA from 1 species
UACGUAGGGGGCUAGCGUUGUCCGGAUUUAUUGGGCGUAAAGAGCGUGUAGGCGGCCAGGUAGGUCUGGUGUGAAAACUCGAGGCUUAACCUCGAGAUGUCAUCGGAAACCAUCUGGCUAGAGUCCGGAAGAGGAGAGUGGAAUUCCUGGUGUAGCGGUGAAAUGCGCAGAUAUCAGGAAGAACACCGAUGGCGAAAGCGGCUCUCUGGGCCUUACCUGACGCUGAGGAGCGAAAGCGUGGGUAGCGAACAGG